CCUUGACCCUGAGUGCUGGGCUGCAGAGAGUUGAAAUCCAUCCCCAGGUUCCCCGUAGUUCAGAUCCAGCAGAAGUGACCAUACGUCCUGUCCACAACUAGGUGGCAAGAGCCUGUGGCUUUCAUCUCCGGCUCUCCAGCUUGGUCAUACAACCCUCGGCCGGGGAGCCGGCCACCAUGCCCGAGGACAGGCAGGCCACCCACGGGGAGGCCCAGGUGGUGAGGAGCCAAGGUCUCCGCAUUGCCAGCGAGGAACCGAGGCCAGGCAGCAGCUGUGAGCGAGCUGGAAGCAGAGCCCUGGUGUGGCAGCCAGGCUCAGCCAACAGCCCGCCUGGAACCCAGCUGAGCCUCCGGUUCCCAUCCCACAGAAACCGUGAGAAUAAACUGCGAGGUUUGGGGAAAUUGGUUACAUAGUCACAGACAAAUACGUCUGUCUUUACAUCACACCCUUCAACACGAUUUUUCAUUUUA